UUUUAUGGAGAGUUUGAUCCUGGCUCAGGAUGAACGCUGGCGGCGUGCCUAAUACAUGCAAGUCGAGCGAACGGACGAGAAGCUUGCUUCUCUGAUGUUAGCGGCGGACGGGUGAGUAACACGUGGAUAACCUACCUAUAAGACUGGGAUAACUUCGGGAAACCGGAGCUAAUACCGGAUAAUAUUUUGAACCGCAUGGUUCAAAAGUGAAAGACGGUCUUGCUGUCACUUAUAGAUGGAUCCGCGCUGCAUUAGCUAGUUGGUAAGGUAACGGCUUACCAAGGCAACGAUGCAUAGCCGACCUGAGAGGGUGAUCGGCCACACUGGAACUGAGACACGGUCCAGACUCCUACGGGAGGCAGCAGUAGGGAAUCUUCCGCAAUGGGCGAAAGCCUGACGGAGCAACGCCGCGUGAGUGAUGAAGGUC
rnacentral:rRNA from 1 species